rnacentral:rRNA from 1 species
GACGAACGCUGGCGGCGUGCUUAACACAUGCAAGUCGAACGGAAAGGCCCUGCUUUUGUGGGGUGCUCGAGUGCCGAACGCGUGAGUAACACGUGAGUAACCUGCCCUUGUCUUUGGGAUAACUUCAGGAAACUGGGGCUAAUAUCGGACAGGAGCUCCUGCUGCAUGGUGGGGGUGGGAAAGUUUCGGCGGUUGGGGAUGGACUCGCGGCUUAUCAGCUUGUUGGUGGGGUAGUGGCUUACCAACGCUUUGACGGGUAGCCGGCCUGGGAGGGUGACCGGGCACAAUGGGACUGAGAUACGGCCCAGACUGCUACGGGAGGCAGCAGUGGGAAAUAUUGCCCAAUGGGCGGAAGCCUGAUGCAGCGACGCCGCGUGCGGGAUGACGGUCUGUGGGUUGUAAACCGCUUUCGCCUGUGACGCAGCGUGAGUGACGGUAAUGAGUAAAGAAGCACCGGCUAACUACGUG